CAGCACGAGAGAGAGCUGGGAAGAGAGCCAGUCCCGGGGCGGGGACGCGGCAGAAGGGCGGCUCCGGAUGGCGGCCAGGAAGCAGCAGCGCGGCAACACAAGCAGGAAGCGGGACCGCUGGUGACAGGAUGGGGCCCUGCAAGAGCCGGGAAGAGCCCGGAGAGGCGCGGGGGCCGCCGGGAUGCCGGGAGCAGGCGGCCGAGGGCAGGAAGGGGGGCGUCUCCGCGCAGGGAAUCCCGGGUGAAAUCGACGUCUCCAUCUAAAAAAGGAUCUCAAGAUUCUAAGAAGUAGAAGAGAUCUUUUGUUUUGACAUUAAGAGGAGGCUGUAAAAGCAUCUUUCCCAAAGGCAGGGAUCCCGAUCUGCUGCCAAAGUGAGGUCUCCCUGACGGCUCUGUGGUGGGAGCAGCUGAGCGAACGAACGAACAGCAGGAAGCAGGAGCUCUGCGGAGAUGGCGGCCGUGAAGGUGCGACACAGCAAGCACCUGCCUCUCUCCAAAAGCACAGCCGGGGCUUCACAUCACAUUAGGCCAGGGCUGUGCUCGGGGAGGGCUGAACCUGGUGGCGUUUCUGGGCUCAGCAGCCAUCUCCAACAAUUUCUCACCAUUUCUGGGCUCAGAAAAGCCCCCAAUACAGUUAGCCAAAUGGCUUUCCUGCAUUGAUUUUUAUA